UACGUAGGGUGCGAGCGUUGUCCGGAAUUAUUGGGCGUAAAGAGCUUGUAGGCGGUCUGUCACGUCUGCUGUGAAAAUCCGGGGCUCAACCCCGGACUUGCAGUGGGUACGGGCAGACUAGAGUGUGGUAGGGGAGACUGGAAUUCCUGGUGUAGCGGUGAAAUUCGUAGAUAUCGGGAGGAAUACCAGUGGCGAAGGCGGCGACCUGGGCCAAUACUGACGCUGAGGUGCGAAAGCGUGGGGAGCAAACAGG
rnacentral:rRNA from 1 species